UACGUAGGGAGCGAGCGUUGUCCGGAAUCAUUGGGCGUAAAGCGCGUGUAGGCGGCCCGGUAAGUCCGCUGUGAAAGUCCAGGGCUCAACCCUGGGAUGCCGGUGGAUACUGUCGGGCUCGAGUCCGGAAGAGGCGAGUGGAAUUCCUGGUGUAGCGGUGAAAUGCGCAGAUAUCAGGAGGAACACCAAUGGCGAAGGCAGCUCGCUGGGACGUGACUGACGCUGAGACGCGAAAGCGUGGGGAGCAAACAGG
rnacentral:rRNA from 1 species